CAGGUGUGUGUUACAGGAGACAGGCUGUGG
rnacentral:piRNA from 1 species